UACGUAGGGUGCGAGCGUUGUCCGGAAUCACUGGGCGUAGGGCGCUUAUGCGGCUUGAUAAGCGUGCGGUGAAAGCCCGGGGCUCAACCCCGGGUCGGCCGUGCGAACUGUCGAGCUGGAGCACUGUAGAGGCAGGUGGAAUUCCGGGUGUAGCGGUGGAAUGCGUAGAGAUCCGGAAGAACACCGGUGGCGAAGGCGGCCUGCUGGGCAGUGGCUGACGCUGAGGCGCGACAGCGUGGGGAGCAAACAGG
rnacentral:rRNA from 1 species